rnacentral:rRNA from 1 species
GGAUCCAGACUUUGAUUAUGGCUCAGGAUGAACGCUAGCUACAGGCUUAACACAUGCAAGUCGAGGGGCAGCGGGAUUGAAGCUUGCUUCAAUUGCCGGCGACCGGCGCACGGGUGAGUAACGCGUAUCCAACCUUCCGUACACUCAGGGAUAGCCUUUCGAAAGAAAGAUUAAUACCUGAUGGUAUGAUGAGAUUGCAUGAUAGCAUCAUUAAAGAUUUAUCGGUGUACGAUGGGGAUGCGUUCCAUUAGGUAGUAGGCGGGGUAACGGCCCACCUAGCCAACGAUGGAUAGGGGUUCUGAGAGGAAGGUCCCCCACAUUGGAACUGAGACACGGUCCAAACUCCUACGGGAGGCAGCAGUGAGGAAUAUUUGUCAAUGGACGAGAGUCUGAACCAGCCAAGUAGCGUG